GCGGGUGUAGUUCAAUGGUAGAACAUCAGCUUCCCAAGCUGAGAGCGUGGGUUCGAUUCCCAUCACCGGCUCCA
rnacentral:tRNA from 2 species